rnacentral:lncRNA from 1 species
CUAACGUUGUGGCACAAGUGUUUGUGAACUUCUUGGAAGGAAAAUUGAGACUAGAGUUAAGGUAAAUGUAAGCAUGCUGACAAACGAUCUGGUACUUAGCAUAGACCAGCAAAUGCAACUAUUGGCACCACUCACUGGCAAAGAUGUGAAGGGGUAAUUUUUUUCAAAUAUAUAAGCUUAAAAGUGUAGGCACGAUGGUUAUGGAAGUGGUUUCUUCAAGAAAGUAUGGGGAU